UUGAAGUUAUCAAUUUCCGGUACUAAUAUUAAACCCGGAAGACUAGAAAUCCACCAUUUUGCUACAAUGAUUUUAUACGUGUGCUCGUUGUAAUCAUGUACAUUUAUAGCCUGUGAAUAUUGAAUAUAACAAAGUUUUUAAUAUAUAAAUAAAAUAACUAUAAUAGUAUAUAAAUUAAAUUUUAUUAAUUGUUAUUUAAAUUUUUAAAUAAAUAAUUAAUUAUGGGACGUAAGAAGAAGAAGCAGUCAAGACCCUGGUGCUGGUAUUGUAAUCGUGAAUUCGAUGAUGAAAAGAUUUUGAUUCAACAUCAAAAAGCUAAACAUUUUAAAUGUCAUAUUUGUCAUAAAAAAUUAUACACUGGUCCGGGACUAAGUAUACAUUGUAUGCAGGUGCACAAAGAAGCAAUAGAUAAAGUACCAAACUCGAUGCCAAAUCGUAGUAAUAUAGAAAUAGAAAUAUAUGGAAUGGAAGGAAUACCACCAAAUGAUUUAAAAGAACAUGAACGGCAAAGAAAUGGCGGUAGACCAGGAUCACCAAGUUCGGGUGAAGAUGAACCAGCACAAAAAAAAUCUAAACCUGAAGGUUUAUUGGGUUCAGCGCCUGGACAGAUGCCAACUAAUUCAGGAAUGAUGCCUGGUAUGAUGCAAGGCAUGCCAGGACACCAUCCGAUGCAUCAGAUGGGUCAGUAUCCUCCACCGAUGCAUCAUAUGAUGGGACAUAUGGGUCAUGUUGGUCCGCCAUUCAUGCAAGGAAUGAUGCAAGGUAUGCCAGGAAUGCCUCCAGGUAUGCAACCACCAGUGUCUGGUGCGUCAAUGCCAACGAGGCCGCUUUUCCCAGCUGUUGUAUCAACAGCUACAUCAUCAGUACAUAAUUCAACACCUAUUGGUACUGAUUUCAAACCCAUAACCUCGGUAGCUGGUGGCUCUAUAGGUCCAAUAAAACCUACAUUUCCGGCUUACAGCAGUGAAUCAACUGCUACAAUGAAUAAUAUUCAUGAUCAGAAGGUUAAUUUAAUUGCUACAACUGGUGCCGCAAGUAAAAUAAUUCAUCCGCCCGAAGAUCUCAGUCUUGAGGAAAUAAGGGCGAGAUUACCUAAAUAUCAACGUCGUCAGAAUGACGAAUCAAAUCGUAAUUCUGUUAAUUCAGAAGCAUCACACCAAGCUGCUGUUCUGCAUCAACAGCAACAACAGCAUCAGCAACAACAACAACAACAACAUCAACAUCAGCAACAACAACAGCAGCAGCAUCAUCAACAACAGCAGCAGCAACAACAGCAACAACAACAGCAAGCGGCGCAACAGCAACAAGUGGCAGCCGUGAACGCAGCGGCGGCAUUCCAAGAUCAGCAGCAACGACAACAAGCUGCACUGUCUGCAUUACAGCAGCAACAGCAACGUUUUCAGAGGCCACCACAGAUGAUGGUACCUGCAACGGCUGCUAUUCCUGUUUCCUCCGUUGCGCUCAUGGCUCCACUAAUGCGCCCAACAAUGACACUUGCUGCUCCUGCUCUCAUUCACGGAGGUAACAUGAUGCGACCGCCCCCCAUGGGCCUGCCACCAGGACGCCCAGUCACUCCUUGGUGAGUGUUGAACAACCCUCGUCUGGUUACUAAAUACGUGUUUUAUUCAAGUACAACAAGGUAUGAUUGGGGCAUUGCCCCCAGGUGCGAUGCAUCCAGCAUUCGCAGCGCCAAUGGGAUUUCCUGGUGGCCCAAUGCUAACACCGAUGAUGCAUCCACGCUUCAGAUGAUCACCUCAAACUAACGGGCCUAAUCCAUCAUUGCAUUUUGUGCUCUGGGCCCGACCAUAACUUUGGCUUGAACAUUAUAAAUUAAUUGAACUUUAAAUAUAAUAACAAUUAUUAUAUACAAUUAACGACGAAAGCCAUGGGUUUGGAAAUUCUCAAGAGGACAGUGCGACGUUAAAGACAUCAUCAUCAAUCACGCCACUCAAUGAUCCUCCAAGUUAACACGAAGUUAGCAAAAGUCUUUGUUUUUUUUUUUUUUUUUUUUUAUUACUAUGAUUAUUAAAUAUUGUUACGCUAUAAACAGUAUUUGGAAAUAUGAAAAAUAAUUCCAGGUACUGUUUUCGAUCCACAGGAUAUUCUAGUGUGGAUACGGGUGGCGCUUCACGCUGCCGCUAAAAAAAUACUUGUUUUUUUUUUUAUUAUUUAUUUAUUUAAAAAAAUUAGAAAUAAAUUGAUUGACUUUGGAUUUAUUUUGAACAAUUUAAAUAAUAUUGUGAGUACGCAUUUAAUGGAUGAAAGUAAGAAUGUAAAAAUAUAAACGAAAUUAAUAAUUAAUAUUUAGGAAUUAUAAAAUAAAUAAAAUAGUUUAUUAGCCGCAGCGUGAAGGUUUCGGUUACCUCAGGUUAGUCUGCCGUAAAUAUUUUUAUUUUGUUAAGAAUCAUUUUCAAAUCUUUAUUUAUUAAUUAACAACAUUAUUACUAUUAUUAUUUUAUAUUAAUACUGUUUGUUGUUUUAAAUUGAUAAAUUAUUUACUUAAUGUUGUUAAUUUAAUAAAUUAAGAAAUAAUGAUUCUUUAUUUUCAUUCAAGCAACUUAACGUGUCGACGACGCAUGAGUGAGUGGUAAGUACGGAGAGUGCUCACAAAAAAACUUAUCAAAAGAAAAAUAAAAUAAUAAAUUUUAAUUAAAAAAAAGUACGAACACCAGCUUUUUACACUAAAAGCGCGACUCUUAUUCAAAUACUCUUUUCUUAAAUUUAUCGGUAUUCAAAUAUCUUCCUAUAGAUUUUUUAUUCUUCAAUAAUAAAUAUAUUGUAUUAUAAUGAGUAUUCACGUUUUUAAAUAGCGGAUUUUUUUUUUAUAUUAAACUCAUUUUACUUCCUAACUAAUUAAUGAUCCAAAUUAAAAUCAAAGUAUAAAAUGAAAUAAAACGAUUUAUGGAUAAAAAUUAAUGAAUCAUUACCGUGCUCUGAACACGUGUACGUACAAAUACUACGUAUUGUUAUUAUAAUUAUUUUAUUUUAUUAAUUGUCUUUCUGAAUAAUUAACAAUUAGGGUAGAAAAAAAUAAUAGACAUUUUAAUUGAUUUUAAUUUUACAUAAAACAAUGAAUUUGACGAGUUAUUAUUAAUAAUUAUUCUUAAAUUAAUUCAGGAGGACAAUUUGAAUUAAAAAAUUAAAUUAAAUAUGUAGAAUUAUUCAGUGAGUGUCGCCGACAAAUUUUUUUCUUUUUUUUUAAUCUAAUUUAAUUGUUUUUUUUUUAAUUUUUUUUAAAAAUAAAUCUGUGGAAAGUUUUGAUGGGUUUGGGCACAGCCUGACGUUUUAGGAAAACUUGAAAAAAAAAAAAUUAUAAAUAUAUAACGAUAAAUAAAACUAAAACUUUUAAAUAUACUAGGAAAUAAUAAAAUUAAAAAAUUGUAAUAUGCUUGUAAAAUAUUACACAUGUAAUUAAUUUAUUACUUUAUAAUAUUUGUAUUAGAUUUUUAAAUGAAUUAUUAUUAAUUUUUUUUUAUAUUUAAAUUUAUUAACUAUUAAUAUAUUAAUUAUAUUAAUAAAUUUCCUGAAACGAGCAGGCAAUAGUCACACAUUGUUUAAAGCAAUCACAGCUUACAUCGCUGUUGGACCAAACGUUUUUUUUUUUUUUUUUUUUUUUUUAUUUAUUUACUUUUUUUUUCUCUCUCUCUCUCUCUCUAUCUUUCAUUUGGUCCCUUGUCUUGUAUCAAAAAGACAGGCGAUUGUUUUGAUCGUUAUCAUUUUGUCAAGUUGCUUAUUAUUAUACUUCUUAAAUACUUAAAUUUAUAUAAAUUUAAACUUUAAAUACGAUAAAUAAAUUAAUGAAGACUAUAGUUAAAUAAAUUGUAAUUUAAACAAUUUAAUAUUAAUAAUAAAAUAAUUAGAUAAAAUCAAAUGUAAAGAGAGUUGACUUGACAAUAUGACCGAGUGACUAAAUAGUAAUAUAUAUAUAAAUAAGUAAUUAAUUAAAUAAAAUUAAUAAAAAAUAAAUGAAAAUUUAUCGAUAAUUGCAAAAGUUUGAUUUAUUAACCGAUUAAUCCAACAAUUGUAUCUAAAAUUUUAAUAAUAAAAAAAAAAAAAAAAUUAUCAAGUUUUUCGUGUCUUAAUUAUUUCAAUACCAUGCUAUUGUAUUAUAUUUGUUUUGUAAUAUAUAUUUCAUAAAUUGUUAAUAAUUAGUAAUUAUUUUUUUGUAAUUAAUGUCGACAUUGAGAGAAUGGAAAGUGAGUGAUGAUAAUUUUUUUUUUUUGUUGGUUUAGAUACAAUUGUCUGGUGAAUGCUCAGUUCUGUGUCUAACUAUUGAUAUUAUAAUUAUAGUUUAUAAUUAAAUUUUGCGCCACAGUAAAAAAUAUUGUGUAUCUGUGUUGAAAACGGUCCGUGUUAAUUAUUUUAAUCAACACAUGUUACUGUAUCACUUGAAAAUUUUAAAUUGAUCUACUAUUUAACACCUUAAAAGUGUUACUUUGUACAAAAAUCUAAAUUAUCAAAAUUUAGUAUGUGUUACUUUAAAAUUAACACAAAAUUAAUGUUGAAAACUCAAUCGAUAGUCACGGAAGAAUUAUUAGAAAAUGAAAGUGAAAUCUUCAUUUUAUAAAUGUCAAUUUAUUAUUAUUAUUAACAUGAAACUUUUCAUUUUAUUAAUAAAUUAAAUUCACUAUAUACUAAAAGCUGGAAUGUUUAUCAUACUACACUGAGAGAAAAAAGUGUAUAUUUCCAAGUAAAAUUUCUUGAUUUAAGUAUUAUUUUACUUAAAUAGUGCCAAGUAAAUAUUUUCUUAAUUUUAGUAAAUAUUUUCUUAAUUUUAGUAAAAAUGCAUUGUCUGUAGAAAUUUAUGAGUAGAUUCAAACAAUUGUUAUAAAGAUAAGAAAUAUUAUACUUCGAUGCAGUAAAUUUUUUUUUGUUUUCAGUAUUAUGAGUUAAGU